rnacentral:rRNA from 1 species
AUUGAACGCUGGCGGCAGGCCUAACACAUGCAAGUCGAGCGGAUGAAGGGAGCUUGCUCCUGGAUUCAGCGGCGGACGGGUGAGUAAUGCCUAGGAAUCUGCCUGGUAGUGGGGGAUAACGUCCGGAAACGGGCGCUAAUACCGCAUACGUCCUGAGGGAGAAAGUGGGGGAUCUUCGGACCUCACGCUAUCAGAUGAGCCUAGGUCGGAUUAGCUAGUUGGUGGGGUAAAGGCCUACCAGGCGACCAUCCGUAACUGGUCUGAGAGGAUGAUCAGUCACACUAGAACUGAGACACGGUCCAGACGCCUAAGGGAGGCAGCAGUGGGGAAUAUUGGACAAUGGGCGAAAGCAUGAUCCAGCCAUGCCGCGUGUGUGAAGAAGGUCUUCGGAUUGUAAAGAACUUUAAGUUGGGAGAAAGGGCAGUAAGUUAAUACCUUGCUGUUUUGACGUUACCAGCAGAAUAAGCACCGGCUAACUUCGUG